ACUGAAUAGAUACCCGGGUAGUCCCAGCUGUAAACGAUGCAGACUAGGUGUUUGGACGGCCACGUGCCGUUCUAGUGCCGCAGGGAAGCUGUUAAGUCUGCCGCCUGGGGAGUACGAUCGCAAGAUUGAAACUUAAAGGAAUUGGCGGGGGAGCACCACAAGGGGUGAAGCUUGCGGUUUAAUUGGAGUCAACGCCGGAAAUCUCACCGGGAGCGACAGCAGUAUGAAAGCCAGAUUGAAGGUCUUGCUAGACGAGCUGAGAGGAGGUGCAUGGCCGUCGCCAGUUCGUGCCGUGAGGUGUCCUGUUAAGUCAGGCAACGAUCGAGACCCGCGUCCUCUGUUGCAACCAGCUUUGUGCUGGGCACACUGAGGAGACCGCCACUGAUAAAGUGGAGGAAGGAGCGGGCCACGGCA
rnacentral:rRNA from 1 species